AACGUAGGAGGCGAGCGUUAUCCGGAUUUACUGGGCGUAAAGCGCGUGUAGGCGGAACGGAAAGUUGGAUGUGAAAGCUCCUGGCUUAACUGGGAGAGGUCGUUCAAAACUUCCGGACUAGAGGAUGGUAGAGGAAAAUGGAAUUCCGGGUGUAGUGGUGAAAUGCGUAAAUAUCCGGAGGAACACCAGAGGCGAAAGCGAUUUUCUGGACCAAAACUGACGCUCAGACGCGAAAGCUAGGGUAGCAAACGGGAUUAGAGACCCCGGUAGUCCUACCCGUAAACGAUGUAGACUUGGCGUUGGGUGGGUAAAACCGCUCAGUGCCGAAGCAAACGCGAUAAGUCUACCGCCUGGGGACUACGGCCGCAAGGUUAAAACUCAAAGGAAUUGACGGGGCCCCGCACAAGCAGCGGAGCGUGUGGUUUAAUUCGAUGCUACACGAAGAACCUUACCAGGGUUUGACAUAUAAGUGGUAGGGAAGGGAAACCGGACCGACCCUUCGGGGAGCUUAUACAGGUGCUGCAUGGCUGUCGUCAGCUCGUGUCGUGAGAUGUUCGGUUAAGUCCGCUAACGAGCGCAACCCUCGCUGUGUGUUACAAGUGUCACACGGAGCUGCCGGUCCUAAACCGGAGGAAGGUGGGGAAGGCGUCAAGUCAGCGUGGCCCUUAUAUCCUGGGCUACACACACGCUACAGUGGGUAGGUACAAUAGGUAGCGAAACCGCGAGGUGGAGCCAAUCCCAAAAACUACCCUCAGUUCAGAUUGUAGGUUGCAACUCGCCUGCAUGAAGUCGGAGUUGCUAGUAACCGCAGGUCAGCUAUACUGCGGUGAAUACGUUCCCGGGGCU
rnacentral:rRNA from 1 species